rnacentral:rRNA from 1 species
UUGCACGCUGGCGGCAUGCUUUACACAUGCCAGUCGAACGGCAGCGCGGGCUUCGGCCUGGCGGCGAGUGGCGAACGGGUGAGUAAUACAUCGGAACGUGCCCAGUAGUGGGGGAUAGCUCGGCGAAAGCCGGAUUAAUACCGCAUACGACCUGAGGGUGAAAGCGGGGGAUCUUCGGACCUCGCGCUAUUGGAGCGGCCGAUGGCAGAUUAGCUAGUUGGUGGGGUAAAGGCCUACCAAGGCGACGAUCUGUAGCUGGUCUGAGAGGACGACCAGCCACACUGGGACUGAGACACGGCCCAGACUCCUACGGGAGGCAGCAGUGGGGAAUUUUGGACAAUGGGCGAAAGCCUGAUCCAGCAAUGCCGCGUGUGUGAUGAAGGCCUUCGGGUUGUAAAGCACUUUUGGCGGGAACGAAAAGGACUGUGCCAAUACCACGGUUCGAUGACGGUACCCGCAGAAUAAGCACCGGCUAACUACGUG